UGGCAAUGCCAAACAGGGAACAGCUAAGUGUGGAGCCCUGCGGCACCCCAUUCUCUAAAACGUGCUCGUUUGAAUAAGCGUCGCCAACUCGUACGACAAAUUUCCUAUUUUCCACAAAAGAUUUAUACCAUACCUCCAAGUCAUGUCGUAUGCACCCUUGAUGUCAAAGAAGACCCCAACCAGGUGCUCGCCACUGUCGAACGUAUUCAGAAUACGAUCGCUCAACUUGACCAGAUGGUCAAUAGUUGAUCGUCCCUUCCGAAAACCGGUUUGAUAUGGGACGUAUAUAUUGUUACGUUCGAGGAACGUUUGCAACCUCCCGUUUACCAUCUUUUCCAACAGUUUGCCUAGACAAGAGGUCAAACUUAUUGGACGGUAGUGUUGUGCUAACAGCGGGUCUUUUCCCGGCUUCGGUAUAGGGACUACAACUGCCUGUUUCCAUUCAGAAGGCACUACAGUGACGAAGCAUCUGGUUAUGGAUACCAUCUCCUCCCGGUGAACAUGACUUGGUGUUACGGAUUGCUUCAUCUAGAUCUUCUAGGUUAAAGGGUAAGUUAUCAUCUAGAGUUUCAUCGGUAUCAAAGUUUAUAGGUGUCAAUUCUUUCUCGAUUUUAGCCUCUAGAAAAGUACGAGGAUAAUUGAGUGAACUGCUAACUUUAUAGAAUUGAUCGGCAAUAAUGUUACUUAUUUCCUGCAGGUUGUUGGUAACUACCCCAUCGGAGUUACGCAGAAAUCUGGGAUAAGCGCAGCCGAUUUUACCGGAUAUUGCUCCUACCUUCUUCCAGACUUCGCCAAUGGUUGUCUCCGGUGUGAUGGUGGAAACGUAUCUUUGCCAUGAGUUUCUUUGUGCCUCUAAUAUCCGCCGACGACACUCGGAUCUUCGUUUUUUAAAUUCGAUUAAAUUCUCCAUUGUAGGAUGGCGACGGAACCUAUUUAAUGCUCUUUUCUUUAAUAAAAUUUUUUCUUUUAU